AUACCUCGAGCAGUUUUUGAAACACGCCAAACUACAUUCAAAUUCACACCAACAUUGCUUGUGCCCUUUUAAUUAGAUAGAAAAUAAUCAAUUUGGCAUAACUAGACUAGUCAGUAUUUUUUUUUUCUCUGGUAAUAUACACGACAAUGUCAAAGGGAAAAGAUUUCAGCUGCGUAGGAGGUCUGCAGAAGCACAUCCAAAUAUUAAAGGAAACCGUACUGUUCCCAUUGAUGUACGGGGAUAUUUACGCCAAAUUCAAUUUGAAACCACCACGUGGACUUUUGUUUUAUGGCCCUCCAGGUACGGGGAAAACUUUGGUAGCUGGAGCUUUAGCUACAGAAUGCAGUAACGCCGAGAGAAAAGUCUCCUUUAUUUCCCGCAAAGGAUCUGACUGCCUCAGCAAAUGGGUAGGCGAGAGCGAAAAAAAAUUACAACAGAUUUUUCA
rnacentral:misc_RNA from 1 species